GCGGGCGUGGGUAGAAGAGUUUGAACGUGAUUAAAAGUUUGAUUACUACUCAAUUUCAGCACAAUUUUGGUCUAUAAAAAGAGGAGACUGCGGCAACAGAAGGGGAAGAUUCAAUAGAGGGAAGCAAGCAGUAGUCAACCAUAAAUUUUAUUUUUUUAUAUUUUAAUUUUAUUUUAAGAUUUAAGAAGCAGAGAAAGCAGAUGUGUGGCUAAGGCUCCUCCAUCUUGAGGAGGAGAUGAAGUUCUUCAUGUUA
rnacentral:lncRNA from 1 species